CCUACGGGUGGCAGCAGUGGGGAAUAUUGGACAAUGGGGGCAACCCUGAUCCAGCCAUGCCGCGUGUGUGAAGAAUGCCCUCGGGUUGUAAAGCACUUUCAGUGAGGAAGAACGCCUGGUGGUUAAUACCCAUCAGGAAAGACAUCACUCACAGAAGAAGCACCGGCUAACUCCGUGCCAGCAGCCGCGGUAAUACGGAGGGUGCGAGCGUUAAUCGGAAUUACUGGGCGUAAAGCGCGCGUAGGUGGCUUGAUAAGCCGGUUGUGAAAGCCCCGGGCUCAACCUGGGAACGGCAUCCGGAACUGUCAAGCUAGAGUGCAGGAGAGGAAGGUAGAAUUCCCGGUGUAGCGGUGAAAUGCGUAGAGAUCGGGAGGAAUACCAGUGGCGAAGGCGGCCUUCUGGACUGACACUGACACUGCGGUGCGAAAGCGUGGGUAGCAAACAGGAUUAGAUACCCUAGUAGUC
rnacentral:rRNA from 1 species